UACAGGGGGGGCAAGCGUUGUUCGGAAUUACUGGGCGUAAAGGGCUCGUAGGCGGCCAACUAAGUCCGACGUGAAAUCCCCAGGCUUAACCUGGGAACUGCGUCGGAUACUGGAUGGCUUGAAUUCGGGAGAGGGAUGCAGAAUUCCAGGUGUAGCGGUGAAAUGCGUAGAUAUCAGGAGGAACACCGGUGGCGAAAGCGGCUCACUGGACCAUUACUGACGCUGAUGCACGAAAGCUAGGGGAGCAAACAGG
rnacentral:rRNA from 1 species